rnacentral:lncRNA from 1 species
CAGCUACUUGGGAGGCUGAGGCAGAGAAAAAGAUGGCAUCCUUGAUGUGAACAGCUUUUCCCAAGAUCACAGAUCAAGACUUCUAGUUUUUUUUUUUUGAGACAGAGUCUUUUUUUUUUUUUUUUUUUUUUUUUUGGAAAUAGUCUUCGGCUUGUUGCUCAGGUUGGAGUGGAAUAGCGCGAGUAUUUUUAGUAGAAACGGGGUUUCACCAUCUAGGCCAGGCUGGUCUCGAACUCCUGACCUCAUAUGAUCCACCUGGUUUGGCCUCCCAAAGUGCUGGGAUUAUAGGCGUGAGCCACUGUGCUCAUCCUGAUCAUCUUGUCUCUCUUUUUUUUUUUUUAGAGACAGGGUCUCACUUUGUCACCCACACUGGAGUGCAGUGGCACCAUCAGUUCACUGCAGCCUCCAAAUCCUGGGCUCAAGCAAUCCUCCUGCCUCAGCCUCCAGACAUACGGGCAUGCACCACCAUGCCCAGCUAAUUUUUAAAUUUUUAGUAGAUCUGGGGUCUCACUAUGUUGCCCAGGCUGUUCACAAACUCCUGGCCUCAAGUGAUUCUCCUGCCUUGGCCUCCGAAGGCGCUGGGAUUCCAGGCAUGAGCCACCAUGCCCAGUCUCAUUUCUGUUUUAUCUAGAACAGUUUUCAUCACACUGACUUUUUCGAGAAGUCCAGGCCAGAUUGAAAUUCCAUUUUGUCUUUUUAUCAGUGGAAAAAGUAGCAUAUUUAUGUUGGAGGACAAAGAUGAAUCAAAGAGGAAGAAAAUGUAAAACGCAUUUGGGGCCGGGCGCGGUGGCUCAUGCCUGUAAUCCCAGCACUUUGGGAGUCCGAGGCGGGCAGAUCACCUGAAGUGAGCAGUUCCAGACCAGCCUGACCAACA